rnacentral:rRNA from 1 species
UGUUUCGGCUAGGGGGUCAUCCCGACUUACCAACCCGAUGCAAACUGCGAAUACCGAAGAAUGUUAUCACGGGAGACACACGGCGGGUGCUAACGUCCGUCGUGAAGAGGGAAACAACCCAGACCGCCAGCUAAGGUCCCAAAGUCAUGGUUAAGUGGGAAACGAUGUGGGAAGGCACAGACAGCCAGGAUGUUGGCUUAGAAGCAGCCAUCAUUUAAAGAAAGCGUAAUAGCUCACUGGUCGAGUCGGCCUGCGCGGAAGAUGUAACGGGGCUAAACCAUGCACCGAAGCUGCGGCAGCGACACUAUGUGUUGUUGGGUAGGGGAGCGUUCUGUAAGCCGUUGAAGGUGGCCUGUGAGGGUUGCUGGAGGUAUCAGAAGUGCGAAUGCUGACAUAAGUAACGAUAAUGCGGGUGAAAAACCCGCACGCCGGAAGACCAAGGGUUCCUGUCCAACGUUAAUCGGGGCAGGGUGAGUCGACCCCUAAGGCGAGGCCGAAAGGCGUAGUCGAUGGGAAACAGGUUAAUAUUCCUGUACUUGGUGUUACUGCGAAGGGGGGACGGAGAAGGCUAUGUUAGCCGGGCGACGGUUGUCCCGGUUUAAGCAUGUAGGCGGAGGUUCCAGGUAAAUCCGGUACCUUUUUAACGCUGAGGUGUGAUGACGAGGCACUACGGUGCUGAAGUAACAAAUGCCCUGCUUCCAGGAAAAGCCUCUAAGCAUCAGGUAACACGAAAUCGUACCCCAAACCGACACAGGUGGUCAGGUAGAGAAUACCAAGGCGCUUGAGAGAACUCGGGUGAAGGAACUAGGCAAAAUGGUGCCGUAACUUCGGGAGAAGGCACGCUGAUAUGUAGGUGAAGCGGUUUACCCGUGGAGCUGAAAUCAGUCGAAGAUACCAGCUGGCUGCAACUGUUUAUUAAAAACACAGCACUGUGCAAACACGAAAGUGGACGUAUACGGUGUGACGCCUGCCCGGUGCCGGAAGGUUAAUUGAUGGGGUUAUCCGUAAGGAGAAGCUCUUGAUCGAAGCCCCGGUAAACGGCGGCCGUAACUAUAACGGUCCUAAGGUAGCGAAAUUCCUUGUCGGGUAAGUUCCGACCUGCACGAAUGGCGUAAUGAUGGCCAGGCUGUCUCCACCCGAGACUCAGUGAAAUUGAACUCGCUGUGAAGAUGCAGUGUACCCGCGGCAAGACGGAAAGACCCCGUGAACCUUUACUAUAGCUUGACACUGAACACUGGUCCUUGAUGUGUAGGAUAGGUGGGAGGCUUUGAAGUGUGGACGCCAGUCUGCAUGGAGCCAUCCUUGAAAUACCACCCUUUAAUGGCUGGUGUUCUAACGUGGACCCGUUACCCGGGUUGCGGACAGUGUCUGGUGGGUAGUUUGACUGGGGCGGUCUCCUCCUAAAGAGUAACGGAGGAGCACGAAGGUUAGCUAAUCCUGGUCGGACAUCAGGAGGUUAGUGCAAAGGCAUAAGCUAGCUUGACUGCGAGAGUGACGGCUCGAGCAGGUGCGAAAGCAGGUCUUAGUGAUCCGGUGGUUCUGAAUGGAAGGGCCAUCGCUCAACGGAUAAAAGGUACUCCGGGGAUAACAGGCUGAUACCGCCCAAGAGUUCAUAUCGACGGCGGUGUUUGGCACCUCGAUGUCGGCUCAUCACAUCCUGGGGCUGAAGUAGGUCCCAAGGGUAUGGCUGUUCGCCAUUUAAAGUGGUACGCGAGCUGGGUUUAGAACGUCGUGAGACAGUUCGGUCCCUAUCUGCCGUGGGCGCUGGAGAAUUGAGGGGGGCUGCUCCUAGUACGAGAGGACCGGAGUGGACGCAUCACUGGUGUUCGGGUUGUCAUGCCAAUGGCAUUGCCCGGUAGCUAAAUGCGGAAGAGAUAAGUGCUGAAAGCAUCUAAGCACGAAACUUGCCCCG